GGAGGUAUGGCUCAGUGGUAGAGCAUUGGCUUAGUAUACACAAGGCUCUAGGUUCAAUCCCCAGUACUGCCA
rnacentral:tRNA from 1 species